AUUGAACGCUGGCGGCAGGCCUAACACAUGCAAGUCGAACGAGUGGCGGACGGGUGAGUAAUGUCUGGGAAACUGCCCGAUGGAGGGGGAUAACUACUGGAAACAGUAGCUAAUACCGCAUACCAUGGAAUGUGCCCGGAUGGGAUUAGCUAGUCGGUGGGGUAACGGCUCACCUAGGCGACGAUCCCUAGCUGGUCGUAGAGGAUGACCAGCCACACUGGAACUGAGACACGGUCCAGACUCCUACGGGAGGCAGCAGUGGGGAAUAUUGCACAAUGGGCGCAAGCCUGAUGCAGCCAUGCCGCGUGUAUGAAGAAGGCCUUCGGGUUGUAAAGUACUUUCAGCGAGGAGGCGUUACUCGCAGAAGAAGCACCGGCUAACUCCGUGCCAGCAGCCGCGGUAAUUC
rnacentral:rRNA from 1 species